GUAAACGUGAUACUUAUUCACUGCAAUAGACUGCUGUGAACCAUAUUCCAGCAGUAACCUUUGAAAUCCAUCACUUGGCUGCACACAAGUGUGGUCUAAAAGGGGCUUAUAUGCUGUGUUUUUUCAAAACCUCUCAGCAGGCACUGGCUCAGCCCUGGCUGUGCUGCUGUUACCCCUUAGGGCCAGUAUCUGCUGAAGCAUCCAUGCUUCAGAACAGCCUUGGAUUCCUCACUGUUAUAUUCAGUCCAAGGUAAAUUAAGGGAAUGUGAUUAUCAGGAUUUUGAAAGACCCAGUAGUCACCAGCUAAAAUGUACCACAAAAAGAACCCAGCUACGACAACAAGGGAAGUCCCUGAAAAAGGCUGGAAGCAAAAUGACCAUAAUUGAAAUCUGAAAGCAGCAACUUCAUAGAGAAGUAAACGAAGAGGCGGCUCUUUGUAAAUGAUGAUCUAAAAAGUGUUCUGGGUUGUAAGACCUCAUUUCAAAUGUAUUCAUUAAAUAAUAU